GAGCCCUCAGCGGAGCCUCAGCGCAGCCCCGCCGCGCUCGGGCCCGUGCCCCGCUGAGGGAACAUGGGCCUUGCGCUCUGAUGUGUCGCGGUCUGGUUGACUGGAAACCACCGGAUGGGAAAAAAGGCAAUAUGACCAAAGAGCAGUGGUAGAAAGGGGUUUGCCGAGUCAGUAUCCAUCAAACUAGGCCUAUUUUUGUGGUGAAUAGGUGUAAACAUUUAAUUACUUCUUUCAUCAGGCCUUGUGCCAUUAUUCUAAUACACUGUAGUUUUAGCCAAAGGUUUUUUAAAGGUCACCCAUUAGAACUCUCUCAUUCUACCUGUGAACACACAGUAUUCAUAAUUAUUUACCCCUUCCUUGAAAUGCUUUGAGAUCUGUGGUUAAAGUCAGUUACAUAAAAGUUAAUGGUUAUAAAUUUACAUAGUUCCCAUUUUGGAAGGGUCAAUGCCUGAGUUGUUGUAUGAGUUUUUCUGAAGACUAUAAUGUGGGAGCACCCACAUGUCAGAAAGCAAGGUAGCAUUUGCAUGAAGGGACAUUGUUUCCCAGGUGUUUCCAAAUGCACCUACGUGUACCAGGGAGUUUUAUUUCUGAAACCCGGAUCUAACGUCCUAGUUGAGUAUGCAACAACUGCAGUCACCACUAGAAAUAAAACCUGCUUAGUUAACCUACCAUAAUAACUCUGGAAAGACUGACUGAUGAUCAAGACAAAAACUUUGGCACUCAGAAAGAACAUGUAAACAAUCUUCCAGAUUAAAAAGUUGCCAUAAGUACACAUGGUGGAAGAUAAGAACAAGCAGGGUGAGCUCAAGGACUCCCGGAAGCCCAGCUGUUUCAGUCCACGGAAUUUCAGAGAAAUUCCGUGCCGGCCUGAGCAGCAGCGGCCAGAGCAGCGCAACCACCGGCGGGCCGCGGGCGGCCCCGGGACCAGCGGGCACAGGCGCAGCACGGGGCAGCCGAGCGCUGC